GUCGUUUCUUUGCUUUCAGUUGCUGUGCCGGGGGUGCGGCGUCAGACACUCCUCCUUAUUUGGGGCUGUUUGUCUCUGCGGGACUUCAUUAUCGGGUUUUCAGCUCAUGUCACAGAAGGAACCUGCCCAGCUUGGCAGCAUAAUGCAGUUUUCAGCUCAUGUUGCCAAAGGAAGCUGCCCAGCUUGGCAGCACAGCGCAGGUGAAAGUCACUGCCCUGAUCCCGUGUUAUUUAAGCAGAUCUCAUUAUUGAAGCUGAUACUGUGAUUUCGGCAGAUUAAAACAUCUAUUAUUGUUUUUUUAAAAACAUCUGAUGAGCUCAAAAAUGAGCUUUUGGGGUCUUCCUUUUCCCCUGUGCUUACUACACGAAGUAGCUACAAGGGGGUGGUUAUUGCUGGAGCAGAGGAACAUUGCUGGCAGUGGAACAUUGUGCUCCGUACAUCGCUCACGUUUGCCGGGUGAGGUGUAGUGCAGACCUUCCCAGCCUCUAUUUCCCAUAUACUUUGCAGCUGCUUCUUCACCUCUGACAGUGGGUUUGGCUGCGUGGAAUCCUGAUUGUUUUUCAUACUGUUUGUAACUACCUCAGUUUGUCUCACAAAAUGCUUCCUUAUGGCUACCCCAGACCAUCAUGGCAGCAUUUCUCCCAAGUGCAUUUUAGGAUGAAAAUAAAACAAUAACAAGAUGAGAAAUAAACAACCCCCACCCACAAA